rnacentral:rRNA from 1 species
CAGUCGAGCGGUAGCACAGAGAGCUUGCUCUCGGGUGACGAGCGGCGGACGGGUGAGUAAUGUCUGGGAAACUGCCUGAUGGAGGGGGAUAACUACUGGAAACGGUAGCUAAUACCGCAUAACGUCGCAAGACCAAAGAGGGGGACCUUCGGGCCUCUUGCCAUCAGAUGUGCCCAGAUGGGAUUAGCUAGUAGGUGGGGUAAUGGCUCACCUAGGCGACGAUCCCUAGCUGGUCUGAGAGGAUGACCAGCCACACUGGAACUGAGACACGGUCCAGACUCCUACGGGAGGCAGCAGUGGGGAAUAUUGCACAAUGGGCGCAAGCCUGAUGCAGCCAUGCCGCGUGUAUGAAGAAGGCCUUCGGGUUGUAAAGUACUUUCAGCGAGGAGGAAGGCAUUGUGGUUAAUAACCACAGUGAUUGACGUUACUCGCAGAAGAAGCACCGGCUAACUCCGUGCCAGCAGCCGCGGU